rnacentral:rRNA from 1 species
CAGCAGCCACGGUAAUACGGAGGGUGCAAGCGUUAAUCGGAAUUACUGGGCGUAAAGCGCACGCAGGCGGUCUGACAAGUCAGAUGUGAAAUCCCCGGGCUUAACCUGGGAACUGCAUUUGAAACUGUCAGGCUGGAGUCUUGUAGAGGGGGGUAGAAUUCCAGGUGUAGCGGUGAAAUGCGUAGAGAUCUGGAGGAAUACCGGUGGCGAAGGCGGCCCCCUGGACAAAGACUGACGCUCAGGUGCGAAAGCGUGGGGAGCAAACAGGAUUAGAUACCCCGGUAGUCCCUGUCUCUUAUAC